UACGUAGGGUGCGAGCGUUGUCCGGAAUUACUGGGCGUAAAGCGCACGCAGGUGGCUGAGUCAGUCGAUUGUGAAAGCCCUGGGCUUAACCUGGGAAUUGCAGUCGAUACUACUCGGCUCGAGUAUGGGAGAGGGCAGUGGAAUUCCUGGUGUAGCGGUGAAAUGCGCAGAUAUCAGGAAGAACACCCGUGGCUAAGGCGGUUCUCUAGUACGGUACUGACGCUGAGACGCGAAAGCGUGGGGAGCGAACAGG
rnacentral:rRNA from 1 species